rnacentral:rRNA from 1 species
GACGAACGCAGGCGGCGUGCUUAACACAUGCAAGUCGAACGGUGAAGCGCUUUCCUUUUUGGUUGGUGUGGAUGAGUGGCGAACGGGUGAGUAACACGUGAGUAACCUGCCCCCUUCUUCUGGAUAACCGCAUGAAAGUGUGGCUAAUACGGGAUAUUCUGCGCCUGGUGCAUGGUGGGUGUGGGAAAGAUUGUGCCUUUGGGUGUUUUCGGUGGGGGAUGGGCUCCCGGCCUAUCAGCUUGUUGGUGGGGUGAUGGCCUACCAAGGCGGUGCCGGGUAGCCGGCCUGAGAGGGUGGACGGUCACACUGGGACUGAGACACGGCCCAGCCUCAUACGAGGAGGCAGACAGUGGCGGUAAUAUUAGACACAAUAGGGCGCAAGACUAUAGAUGUCAGCGACUCCGCGUGAGGGAUGGAGGCCUUCGGGUUGUGAACCU